UUGUUUUCCCGGCUAGGCUCUGGAGCGGCGGGCGCGGCGCGAUGCGCGGGUACCCGGGAGCGAACGGCUGCAAGCCCCGAUGAAGCUCGAGCAGCCCCAGCCUGAUGGAGGCGCCUCCGUGGGAGCCGGUGCGCAAUGACUCCCUGCCUCCCACGCUGAGCCCCGCGGUGCCGCCCUACGUGAAGCUCGGCCUCACCGCGGUCUACAACCGUCUUCUACGCGCUCCUCUUCGUGUUCAUCUAUGCGCAGCUCUGGCUGGUGCUGCGCUACCGUCACAAGCGGCUCAGCUACCAGAGCGUCUUCCUCUUCCUUUGCCUCUUCUGGGCCUCGCUGCGUACCGUGCUCUUCUCCUUUUACUUCCGAGACUUCGUGGCAGCCAACUCGUUCAGCCCCUUCGUCUUCUGGCUGCUCUACUGCUUCCCCGUGUGUCUACAGUUCUUCACCCUCACGCUCAUGAACUUGUACUUCACGCAGGUGAGAGACGCUCACCUGCCGGGGUCGCCCACCAUCCUCCGGGAGGGGGCAGGUCUCCUCGGCCGCAGGUGGAGAGGGUCGGGGCGAGGUGCAGGUUCUAGGGUGCUGAGACCAUCCCAUCUGCAGGCCCUACUCUCAGGCGACCCCCAGUUGUUCCCAAACGUAGGGAGGACCCACCGGGUGCCUGGAGUCUUCUGUGCACAUCACAUUCGGUGCUGAUGCAAGAGGUGUCUGAUUCUACUUUCCCCUGUCUCCCUUGCUCAUCUCAAGACACCUACCCCUUAUCCUGGAAGGCCAUCUGCAUGUUGGCUCCACUUUGGGGCCAGGCACCAGCCUGUUGGAAGUAAUGAUGAGACAGGCUUGAUUUUGAUGA
rnacentral:lncRNA from 1 species